CUAUCAACUUUUGGAUGGUAAGGUAUUGGCUUACCCAUGGUUUUCAACGGGUAACGGGGAAUUAGGUUCGAUUCCGGAGAGCGAGCCUGAGAAACGGCUAGCACAUCCAAGGAAGGCAGCAGGCGCGCAAAUUACCCAAUGCCGAUACGGCGAGGUAGCGACAAUAAAUACUGAUACAGGGCUCUUUUGGGUCUUGUAAUUGGAAUGAGUACAAUUUAAACCUCUUAACGAGGAACAAUUGGAGGGCAAGUCUGGUGCCAGCAGCCGCGGUAAUUCCAGCUCCAAUAGCGUAUAUUAAAGUUGUUGCAGUUAAAAAGCUCGUAGUUGAACCUUUGGCCUGGCUGGCGGGUCCGCCUCACCGCGUGCACUUGUCCGGCCGGGCCUUCUUCUCUGGAGAACCGCAUGCCCUUCACUGGGUGUGUUGGGGACCAGGACUUUUACUUUGAAAAAAUUAGAGUGUUCAAAGCAGGCCUUUGCUCGAAUACGUUAGCAUGGAAUAAUAGAAUAGGACGUGCGGUCCUAUUUUGUUGGUUUCUAGGACCGCCGUAAUGAUUAAUAGGGACAGUCGGGGGCAUCAGUAUUCAAUUGUCAGAGGUGAAAUUCUUGGAUUUAUUGAAGACUAACUACUGCGAAAGCAUUUGCCAAGGAUGUUUUCAUUAAUCAGUGAACGAAAGUUAGGGGAUCGAAGACGAUCAGAUACCGUCGUAGUCUUAACCAUAAACUAUGCCGACUAGGGAUUGGGCGGUGCUAUUAUGUUGGCUCGCUCAGCACCUUACGAGAAAU
rnacentral:rRNA from 1 species